AAUAAACGGCUUGUUUACAUGUGCAUAUAUGGUACGUUAAUUUUAAAUAAAUUAUACUUAUAUAUACUUUGUAAAAUUAUUUAUCGAUCCACACAAAAGAACUUAAAACUGAGAAAAAAAAAACAAAAAAAAACGCUUGUACUUAACAAAAUAUAAAAAAAAAGAAAAAAGGAAAAACAUAAUGGAAGAAAUGUUAGACAAUAGUGAAAUAAAAAAAAGCCUUCAAAUGCAAAUUAAAAAUAUUGUUGAUGAAAAUGAAAAACAAUACAAUGAGUUGAUGACAUACAUAGACCAUGAAAAAAGUAAAAAUUUAAACACAAAAAAAAAAAAAAAAUAAAAAAAAUGGAAUUAUUUUUAGAAUAUGUCUAUGCUUUUUAAAAAUUAUAAUUAUAUAUUUUUACCAAUGUAAUUUUUUGAUUUUUACUAAUAUAAUCAUGUUUUUGUUACUAAUACAAUAUUACUUUUAUUAUUAAUACAACUUUGUUCUUUACUGGCUUCAUUUUUUUUUACUCUUUUUUUUUUUUUUUUUUCUUUUUUAAGACCAAAUAGAAAUUAUAAAAAAUAAAACGAAAGAAAAAAAAAUGUCAAUAAACAGAAUAUCUCAUGGUAGUUUUUUUCAUUAAUAUACACACCAUUGUAAAAAACACAUGUGUACAACUAUGUUUUUUAUAGGUUAUAUGUGUUUAUUGCUUUAUUUAUUUAGAUUUUUUUUUUUUUUUUUGUAACUUCACAAAUAAAAAAUUACUUUUAAGAAAGUAUGUAUAUAUAUAUAUAUAUAUAUAUAUACAUAUAAUUUUUUUUUCUUUUUACAAAGAGAUUGAAGCUAACACUGUCUUAGCAACCGAACUAAAAGAAAGUGUUCUGGUAAUAAACCAAACAACAUUACACAAGUUUACCAAAUAAUGCAAGAUUAUGUUGAUUUAUUAGUUCAUUUUUUUUUAUUUUAUUAUUUAACUUAUUUUUAAUUUAUAUAUUUUUAUUUUUAAUUUUACUAUUUUCUUACAGGAAGAGGAAAAAAAAUUGGACGAGUAUCCAAAAUUGGUUGAAGAAAUUAAUGAAAAGUUGGAAUUAGUUUCUAAAAAUUUUGAUGCAACUAAGUUAGAAUAUAAAACAGUGAAGUUACAUAAAGAUUAUAUCGAGGAGGAAUGGAAAAAAAAAUUAAAAACCUUAUAUACUCUUUUAGGAUUUGAGAUAAUAACAGAAGAGGACAAGAUUAUAAUCGAAUUUACCAACAUCCAUGUGUCCGAUCUGCAAAAAAAAUAUCGAGCUACUGUUGCAUUACAUGGAGGGGUUUAUGAAGGUAUAUAUAUAUAUUUUUUUAUAAACACUUGAAUUGGGCGGGAUUGUGAUAAAAUGAUAAUGUGAUAUUUUUUUGUUUAUUUGCUCAUUCAUUCGUUUAACUAUUUAUCCAUUCAUUUACUUAAUCAUAUAUUUACUUAAUCAAUCAUUCAUUUAUUUUGUUUCAUAUUUUUUUUUUUUUUUUUUAUGUCUUCGCAAAUUCCAUUCUUACUUUCACACAGCCAUAGAAACAUCACCACGUAUAAUACAAUUUGAAGACUACGUGAAUAAUUUAAAUAAAGGACUACCAUUUACUACUUUCUGCUGCCUA
ensembl:lncRNA